AGUCUAUUAGCUCAAUUGGUAGCGCUUUGUGCAUUUUGCACAAUGAUGUAGGUUCGAAUCCUACAUAGGCUA
rnacentral:tRNA from 1 species